ACGGGAGGCAGCAGUGGGGAAUAUUGGGCAAUGGGCGAAAGCCUGACCCAGCGACGCCGCGUGAGGGAAGACGGUCUUCGGAUUGUAAACCUUUGUUGUAAGGGACGAAACAAAUGACGGUACCUUACGAGGAAGCCACGGCUAACUACGUGCCAGCAGCCGCGGUAAUACGUAGGUGGCAAGCGUUAUCCGGAUUUACUGGGUGUAAAGGGUGUGUAGGCGGGAUAGCAAGUCAGGUGUGAAAUCCAUAAGCUCAACUUAUGGACUGCGCCUGAAACUGUUGUUCUUGAGUGUCGGAGGGGUAAGUAGAAUUCCCGGUGUAGCGGUGAAAUGCGUAGAUAUCGGGAGGAAUACCGGUGGCGAAGGCGACUUACUGGACGACAACUGACGCUGAGACACGAAAGUGUGGGGAGCAAACAGGAUUAGAUACCCUGGUA
rnacentral:rRNA from 2 species